rnacentral:rRNA from 1 species
UACGUAGGGGGCAAGCGUUGUCCGGAAUCAUUGGGCGUAAAGAGCGUGUAGGUGGCUCGGUAAGUCCGCUGUGAAAGUCCAGGGCUCAACCCUGGAAAGCCGGUGGAAACUGUCGAGCUCGAGUCCGGAAGAGGCGAGUGGAAUUCCUGGUGUAGCGGUGAAAUGCGCAGAUAUCAGGAGGAACACCAAUGGCGAAGGCAGCUCGCUGGGACGGUACUGACACUGAGACGCGAAAGCGUGGGGAGCAAACAGG